rnacentral:rRNA from 1 species
GUAGGUGGCAAGCGUUGUCCGGAAUUAUUGGGCGUAAAGCGCGCGCAGGCUGUCCUUUAAGUCUGAUGUGAAAGCCCGCGGCUCAACCGUGGAGGGUCAUUGGAAACUGGGGGACUUGAGUACAGAAGAGGAAAGCGGAAUUCCAAGUGUAGCGGUGAAAUGCGUAGAGAUUUGGAGGAACACCAGUGGCGAAGGCGGCUUUCUGGUCUGUAACUGACGCUGAGGCGCGAAAGCGUGGGGAGCAAACAGGAUUAGAUACCCUGGUAGUCCACGCCGUAAACGAUGAGUGCUAAGUGUUAGGGGGUUUCCGCCCCUUAGUGCUGCAGCUAACGCAUUAAGCACUCCGCCUGGGGAGUACGGCCGCAAGGCUG